rnacentral:lncRNA from 1 species
GAAGUAGAGGCGUGUUCUUCCGUGUGCCAUGUUUCUCUGCUCUCUGUGCUCUCCUUUGGGAGCCGGCUGAAAGAUUGGUCUGAUUUGUUUUGAUGUCUGCUGACAGGGGCCUUAGGGAAUUGCCAGCGAUCUACAACGUGGCGACAUGUCCGGGUGCUUUGUGCCAUGCUGCAGGUUCAGCUCCAUUGCUGAGUAUGCAGGAAUUGUUGGUUUGAUAUACUCUGAUCUCUGUUGCUUCACAAGCUCCCGAGUCACAACAUGAAUGCAGUGACUUAUGAAGACGUGCAUGUGAACUUCACUCGGGAAGAGUGGGCUUUGCUAAAUCUGUCUCAGAAGAAGCUCUACAAAGAUGUCAUGCUGGAGACCUACAGGAACCUCAAUACUAUAGGCUUUAAUUGGGAAGACCACAAUAUUGAAGAACAUCGUCAGAGUUCUAGAAGACAUGGAAGAUUCUAAACACAUUGUCAUUUCGGGAUGGAGGAAAACAGA